rnacentral:miRNA from 1 species
UCAUCCUCAUCGUCUUCGUCC